AUUGAACGCUGGCGGCAGGCUUAACACAUGCAAGUCGAACGAGUGGCGGACGGGUGAGUAAUGCUUGGGAAUCUAGCUUAUGGAGGGGGAUAACUACUGGAAACUGUAUCUAAUACCCCGUACCAUAGGAUGAGCCCAAGUGGGAUUAGGUAGUUGGUGGGGUAAAGGCUCACAAAGCCGACGAUCUCUAGCUGGUCUGAUAGGAUGACCAGCCAAACUGGGACUGAGACACGGCCAAGACUCCUACGGGAGGAAGCAGUGGGGAAUAUUGCGAAAUGGGGGAAACCUGAGACAGCAAUGCCGCGUGAAUGAAGAAGGCCUUCGGGUUGUAAAGUUCUUUAGGUAGCGAGGCGUUAACUACAGAAGAAGCACCGGCUAACUACGUGCCAGCAGCCGCGGUAAUAC
rnacentral:rRNA from 1 species